GCGAACGUAGUUUAGUGGUAAAAUCCAAGCUUCCCAAGCUUGCGUCGCGGGUUCGAUUCCCGUCGUUCGCU
rnacentral:tRNA from 1 species